UACGGAGGGGGCUAGCGUUGUUCGGAAUUACUGGGCGUAAAGCGCACGUAGGCGGCUUUGUAAGUUAGAGGUGAAAGCCUGGGGCUCAACUCCAGAAUUGCCUUUAAGACUGCAUCGCUUGAACGUCGGAGAGGUGAGUGGAAUUCCGAGUGUAGAGGUGAAAUUCGUAGAUAUUCGGAAGAACACCAGUGGCGAAGGCGGCUAACUGGUCCAGUACUGACGCUGAGGUGCGAAAGCGUGGGGAGCAAACAGG
rnacentral:rRNA from 1 species